CAAGUGAACAGGAGGCUGCUUCUCCUGAGGAGGUCCGCCCCCAGUACACACCCUUGCCUUCUGGAUCCAGAGAGCUCACCAGUCACCGAGGUAUCUUGGGGAAAGGUCGUUAUUUUUACUAUGGAAGAAACUCAGAGGGUAACAGGUUCAUCCGAGAUGACCAGCUCUGAAGCUAAAUUCUGCACACGUUAGCCGAUUUCAUGACAAUAAAAUAGAAAAGCAAGAAAAACCA